AUUCCCGUGAUCCUGAAGAGUGAGGGGGGCAUCGGAGCGGACGGAGACGCUGAAGAGGGACUUCAGGAGCCUGAUCAAGACAGUGCGCAGCAUAUCGCCUGCAUGAUGAUCAUCGUGUCAGGACCACUUCCAACGUAUAGAUGAGGACAUGAAAGGUUCAGCAGACUUUUUGCUUUAAACGAAUGGUUAUAGUCAUGGUGUAAAGAACAGAAACUGCUUUUUGUUAAUAAUUGGAAUCUUUUCUGGGAGCGUCCUAGGCUUUUUAGAUCUCCUGUUGGACAACAUCUCCAGGACACUUCGCUCCAUAUGACUAGGCAGUUUGUGAAAACAGAUAAUCAAGAGAAGUCAGUUCCAGAUCCACCCUCCACACCAGACCUCUCUCUCACGAGGAUUGCUGUCUACUAGCAUAUUGUGUUCUUCAGCUCUUCAGACUUCGGUGGAUGCAGAUAUUACUCAGGGACAUGAACACUAUAAUAUUGCAAGAAUAGAGAAAGUAAGAAUUACUUAAGAUUUUAGAAUUUAAUGUUAAUUGCUUAAACAUAUAUAUAUUUACAUAUAUUUUUGUGGCAGUGUGAACUGGCCAUAAUGCUGUAUGAUAGGUGUGAGAUUCAUUAAACUUGAUUUGCUAUCUGUUCAUAAGCUAUUGCAUAUUAUUUGCAAUGAAUUAUUUGUAGUGGUUUGGUUAAGGGUGUGAUAGCUGAAGAUUAUUGUGGGAGCUUGUGAUUAGUUGAUGAAUGUGUGUAUUGUUAAUGAUAAUAUUUAAAUGCAAUGUGCUGAGUGCCUACUAAGACUUGCAUGUUUGUGCAUAAUGUUUUGACCCUGGAUGCUUACAGAAGGGUAUUGAUAUUUCAAUAUAUGGAAAUGUAUGUAUUAUUAAUAUAUCUCAAUCUAUGUGCUUCUGUAUGGGAUGAAUGCUUUCAUUCAUAUUUCGCUGUAUAUUCUGUUUUUAUUAAUAAUCUGGGUGUAUUACUGUUCAUAUUUGCUUGUUAAUAAAUUAACUGAAUUCAUUUCGAGUAUGUAUUCAUCAUUCACAGCUGCUGAAACAUCCUUUAAAUUAGUUUGGGCAUAUGAGGACAUAAAUUAGGUUCAAGUGCUGCAUGUCCGCCCAUAGAAUAAUUAU